AGACUAUAGUCUUUGGUGUUUUUCACCGCCAAAAAUGUGCAAAGACUAUAGUCUUUGGUGUUUUUUACCGCCAAAAAUGUGCAAAGACUAUAGUCUUUGGUGUUUUUAGCGUCGAAAAAAGUCUCAUGUGUUAGUAUUGCCGCAACAGCCGAAGCAACGUCGUCAUCGGGAGCGACAUCGAUGGUAGUGCGUACAUGCUUUGAGAAGAGACAGAAGAAGCUAGCGUGCAGAGAGAGACCUAUGUUUGGGUAUUUCGGCUUGGAUUUGACGGCAGUUCGGCUUCGGCGACAGAAGAGGCGACAUCGGGAGCGACAUCAGUAGCAAAGCGGGUUCCUCAGAGCGACGAUGGAGAGAGAGAGAACGAUGACCAUUGCGCGAUGCAAGCAAAUCAGGACAUCAACGAGUCUCUCCAAAGAUCCACUCCUCUCCAUCCUGUUCCGGUAGAGAUGGAUCUGCAACACAUGAGACGUACAACUCCUUUUUUUGCGGAGGUCGCAUAUCUUCCAACGUCGGAGAUGCUGUCGCCGCAGUUAUGACCCCCUGGACUUCCCCUGUUCAUCAGGGGGAGUCCAGGGACCCGUCCCCUGGGACUGCGCGGCCUCCCACCGCCCCCGGG